rnacentral:rRNA from 1 species
UACGUAGGGUGCGAGCGUUAAUCGGAAUUACUGGGCGUAAAGGGGGCGCAGGCGGUCUAGUAAGCUGGGUGUGAAAGCCCCGGGCUUAACCUGGGAAUGGCAUUCAGGACUGCGAGGCUUUGAGUGCGGCAGAGGGAGGUGGAAUUCCACGUGUAGCAGUGAAAUGCGUAGAGAUGUGGAGGAACACCGAUGGCGAAGGCAGCCUCCUGGGCCAGCACUGACGCUCAUGCACGAAAGCGUGGGGAGCAAACAGG